rnacentral:lncRNA from 1 species
GUCAAUGUUACUCACCUCCUCUCUCUCUCUCUCUCCUUGAUUAAAGUCGCCAUUCUCUAUCUCUCUCAUCACUCCAGUGUCACCCUUCUCCUCUCUCAUCACUCUAAUGUCGCCCUUCAUGCUUCCAAUAAGGCCCCCAUCACGUUCUCUUUGAAUCUCAUCCGAAAUGUCUCUUGUUGGGGGCGAAAUUGAUAACGACGAAACCAAUGUCAAAA